GCAGUAGCCGCGGUAAUACGAAGGGUGCAAGCGUUACUCGGAAUUACUGGGCGUAAAGCGUGCGUAGGUGGUGGUUUAAGUCCGUUGUGAAAGCCCUGGGCUCAACCUGGGAAUUGCAGUGGAUACUGGGUCACUAGAGUGUGGUAGAGGAUAGUGGAAUUUCCGGUGUAGCAGUGAAAUGCGUAGAGAUCGGAAGGAACAUCUGUGGCGAAGGCGACUAUCUGGGCCAACACUGACACUGAGGCACGAAAGCGUGGGGAGCAAACAGGAUUAGAUACCCCAGUAGUCCCUGUCUCUUAUAA
rnacentral:rRNA from 1 species